ensembl:snRNA U6 U6 spliceosomal RNA
GUGCUUGCUUCGGCAGCACAUACACUAAAAUUGGAACAGUACAGAGAAGAUUAGCAUGGCCCCUGCAAGGAUGAUGCACAAAUUCAUGAAGCGUUCCAUAUUUAA